rnacentral:rRNA from 1 species
AGGAUGAACGCUGGCGGCGUGCCUAACACAUGCAAGUCGAACGUCCUGUCUCGCAAGAGGCAGGGAGUGGCGGACGGGUGAGUACCACGUGGGUCAUCUACCGUGAGGUGAGGAAUACCGGCGAGAAAUCGCCGACAAGACCGCAUAGGCUCGAUGCAAGUCGAGCAAAGCUCUUUCGAGAGAGGGAGCGCCACACGAGGAGCCUGCGCCCGAUUAGCUAGCUGGUGGAGUAACGGUUCACCAGGGCGACGAUCGGUAGCUGGUCUGAGAGGACGAUCAGCCACACUGGGAUUGAGAACGGCCCAGACUCCUACGGGGGGCAGCAGUGAGGAAUUUUCGUCAAUGGGGGCAACCCUGAACGAGCAACGCCGCGUGCAGGAAGAAGGUUUUCGGAUCGUAAACUGCUUUUCUCGGGGAAGAGAACGGACGGUACCCGAGGAAUCAGCCCGGCUAACUACGCGCCAGCAGCCGCGU